GGAAUAUUGGGCAAUGGGCGAAAGCCUGACCCAGCGACGCCGCGUGAGGGAUGAAGGUCUUCGGAUUGUAAACCUCUUUCAGUAGGGAAGAAGCGAAAGUGACGGUACCUAAAGAAGAAGCACCGGCUAACUAUGUGCCAGCAGCCGCGGUAAUACAUAGGGUGCAAGCGUUGUCCGGAAUUAUUGGGCGUAAAGAGCUCGUAGGUCGUUUGUCGCGUCGAUUGUGAAAAUCUGAGGCUCAACCUCAGACCUGCAGUCGAUACGGGCAAACUAGAGUGUGGUAGGGGAGACUGGAAUUCCUGGUGUAGCGGUGGAAUGCGCAGAUAUCAGGAGGAACACCAAUGGCGAAGGCAGGUCUCUGGGCCAUAACUGACACUGAGGAGCGAAAGUGCGGGGAGCGAACAGGAUUGGAUACCCUGGUAGUCCGCACCGUAAACGGUGGGCACUAGUUGUGGGAACCUUCCACGGUUUCCGCGACGCAGCAAACGCAUUAAGUGCCCCGCCUGGGGAGUACGAUCGCAAGAUUAAAACUCAAAGGAAUUGACGG
rnacentral:rRNA from 1 species